AACUUCAAUACUCUUUAACAUAACCAAAAUAGCUUAGACUUAAAAACUAGAACAUAGAAAAAUAAGUAUUUUUCCAAUAAGUAUUUUUCCAUAAACUCCUCCAAUAAGUAUUUUUCCACAGUAGUUACAUUUGAUUUUUCUUGUUCCUCCAUCAACAGAAACUCCAUGUUUCCAAGCAAUAUCAUUUCGGUUUCCUUUUGAAUUUUUCGGAACUCUAGGGGGUGCAGAUGAGGAGGCACCAACAAGAGAAGACAUGAUUGAAAAUUUGAAAGGAAAUAAGAUGAAUUGAAUAAUUAGCAACCAUUAAUGAAAUUAGUGAUACGGUUGAUGAAUAGAGAUAGGGAUGCAAGGCUCGAUGCAAAAUUCCCAGUUCCACAUGAUAUUUUUGAUACGCAAUCAUGUUUAUAGGUGAAACUGUUCCUUUUCCCCACGUAAUCAGGGUUAGAUGCAGCUUUUUAGGUGAAGCGGUUCGUUUUCGGGUCGGGUCAGUGUAAUUUGAACCGGGUAAAAAACAUAUCAAAUGGGUCGGGGCGAAACGGGUUGAAUUGAAUCUUUAUAAACCCAUAACUAAAAAACGCGUGGAAGAUCUCUGCUUUCACGAUCUUACGAUGUUUCUCUGCGCUUUCACCUGUUCCUCCAUUCUUGCGAUCUUCUCUGCGCUCCAGCACUUUGGCUCACCCCCAACACGUAAGAUCGUGGGAUCUCACGAUUUAACUAUAGAUCUUAACAACCAUGAUUGCAAGAGAUCUACUGUAUGAUCAAGAUGUUAGAAAUAAAGUUUUAAUCCUUCUACUGAAGUCUACCAGGAACAAAUAGGUUAUCAUUUUUUUCCCUACAUUGCAUUGCAUUUAUCCUUUGGAUUUGU
rnacentral:lncRNA from 1 species